AUGUUUUGUAACGUUAAUCUCCCAAGGUGUGUUGUUUGGUUAGUUAUGUAAUGUUGGUCAAGCGUAUCGAUUGGUUGGUUCUAGUGGUCAGUUUCGCGGGGUUUUCUUUGUCUUUGGCGGGUUGUGUCAGUACCCUUCGUGGACUCGUAGGUGACAAUACGUACCUUUUGACAACUAGUGCUAUAUCGCUGAAGUUGUUCAUCAUAAAUGCAAGUUGGUGUAUGGCUCUGUGCCACGACACAGGGUGUUUCACUCAAUUUGUCGGAUAAAAGAUGACAAGAUAACUCAAGAGGUUGUGGUCUUCUGUACCCCAAUUACCCCCUCUGCCAC